CUUUUAUUCUUUCCUUUUCUUUCCAAAAUAAGCACCCGAUAGCUUUGGCCUUUUUAUGUCCGAUAUGUUUAUUACCUGAAUCUGAGUCGCCUCGGGAAUCAACAGGUUACCCUACCCAUCACCCAAUGCCCUCUGACGCGACGGACAGCAGGGGUCAAGACUAAACCAACACAUUGGUGGUGUACAGAUCUCAUUCUCAGUCUCAUUUUUGUAUAGGAAGGCUAUAUUAUUGGCCGUCGCACAACCCUGACAGACGAAAACAAGAGUGUAUGGAAGUUGAAACAGGCAGCUAUCUAGUGUUAUGGAUGAAAUGUACUUUAAGCACAAUUAGGAGGAUCCCCGUUCCCCCUCCUCCUUAUUCCAGUGGUGUGACCUCUGUCAGUGAUCCGACCUCCACCUCCCCACCUCCCUCUUGCGGAGUUGCAGUAACUGCAGCGGGGAAGUAGAAAGUCAUUUGGUGGAUGGCGUUUGGACUGCAUCGUGAGUUCUCUCUCUUUAUCAGUGCUCUAUUGGAAUGAGAUCUAGUGACUGUGAAGGCAAAAGAAGUGGCACCUUCUGCUGCUGUCGCCCAUCCGCUUCAAGAAAUACCUCAUAGGAUGGAAAACGUCAUGAUCAAAGUGUCACAGGCACCAGACUUUCCUGUUGCACCUCCGUAUGAUGAAGGUCCUCUUCCGUACUCGAUGGUCCAACCUCGAGGUCAAGACAGUGCAAACGAGCCAGUGCCAGUUUUUGUUUUCAAAACCACAUGCUGCCCUAAAAAGUGGACCCAAAGUAACUGUCUGGCCUUGGCAUUUAUCUUUGUCUGUCUCUUACUCCUGGUGUUGUUCGGGUUUGUUCUUUACUCAGCUUACGUUAAGAGGUAAUUUUGUUCAAAAUGAAAACUGUUAAAAAAGAUCAUCAUAUCAUGGUGCAAAAAAGCCUGACAUUGCCCUACGAACCCCAAAAGAGAGUUUGUAUAAAAGGUUAAUUUGUAUAAUAAUAAAA